CAUCUUUUACACCUAAACGGUCAUGGCCAGUGAUUUCUGAUGCAUGUCCAUCAGUUGAGGUCAGGAACCAAUCUCCGCAUCUGGCUGAACAAAAAUGGCAGAAGAGUUCAGGUACUAGUCCUGUCUCCAAGGCAAAGACAUUAGAACCUGAGGUUUCUAUGAAGUAUUCCAAUGAUAAUUGUGUUUCCCUCUGUCAAGAGAAACCCUAUGCAUCAGUAAAAGUGGCUGGAAAACCUGUUCUGUUGCCGUCUGCUACAUUCCCUUGCACUAGCAAGCCUGUCUCCAAUUUGACAUGCCCUUCUCCUUGUACGGCUUCACCUUCUUCCAUUGCUCCACAUGCCCGGGCUCCUGGAUCCAAU
rnacentral:lncRNA from 1 species